GAUAAACGCUGGCGGCGUGCUUACACAUGCAAGUCGAACGAAGUUUUUCUUUCGGGAGGAACUUAGUGGCGGACGGGUGAGUAACGCGUGGGUAACCUGCCCUGUACAGGGGGACAACAGCUGGAAACGGCUGCUAAUACCGCAUAAGCCCUUAGCACUGCAUGGUGCAUAGGGAAAAGGAGCAAUCCGGUACAGGAUGGACCCGCGUCUGAUUAGCCAGUUGGCAGGGUAACGGCCUACCAAAGCGACGAUCAGUAGCCGAUCUGAGAGGAUGUACGGCCACAUUGGGACUGAGACACGGCCCAGACUCCUACGGGAGGCAGCAGUGGGGAAUAUUGCACAAUGGAGGAAACUCUGAUGCAGCGACGCCGCGUGAGUGAAGAAGUAUUUCGGUAUGUAAAGCUCUAUCAGCAGGAAAGAAAAUGACGGUACCUGACUAAGAAGCACCGGCUAAAUACGUG
rnacentral:rRNA from 1 species